rnacentral:SRP_RNA from 1 species
UGGCAAACUGGUACGACCAGCUCCCACUAAAUCCCCCAGGUCCGGAAGGAAGCAAGGGUAGGUGGUUGUAGCGGUGCGAUAUCUAGUUUGCCUUUU